rnacentral:ncRNA from 1 species
AAGGCGUAUUUCCGAAAAGCCAUAACAGAGUAGGAG